UACGUAGGGUGCAAGCGUUAAUCGGAAUUACUGGGCGUAAAGCGUGCGCAGGCGGUUUUGUAAGUCUGUCGUGAAAUCCCCGGGCUCAACCUGGGAAUUGCGAUGGAGACUGCAAGGCUAGAAUCUGGCAGAGGGGGGUAGAAUUCCACGUGUAGCAGUGAAAUGCGUAGAGAUGUGGAGGAAUACCGAUGGCGAAGGCAGCCCCCUGGGCCAAUACUGACGCUCAUGCACGAAGGCGUGGGGAGCAAACAGG
rnacentral:rRNA from 1 species